ACGCGGGGGUUCGGCAUUCGAGAUAACACCCUUGCCUUUUUGAGUACCUUUUCGUUUCCUCGGCAGGCUCGCCUGCCAACGGGGACAACUAAAACGCUUUGUAAUACCUGUAAUUGUCUGAUAUAACAAGCAAAAAUUAAAACUUUCAACAACGGAUCUCUUGGUUCUGGCAUCGAUGAAGAACGCAGCGAAAUGCGAUAAGUAGUGUGAAUUGCAGAAUUCAGUGAAUCAUCGAAUCUUUGAACGCACAUUGCGCCCUUUGGUAUUCCUUAGGGCAUGCCUGUUCGAGCGUCAUUUAAACCUUCAAGCUCAGCUUGGUGAUGGGUGACUGUCCUCUCCUCGCGUUAGGACUCGCCCCAAAUACAUUGGCGGCCGGUACAUUGGCUUCGAGCGCAGCAGAAACGCGGUCUCGAGUCCGGUGGACUUGCUCCCAUAAGCAUCUUCGGCGAGUGAAGCGGCAAUAGCUCAAAUUUGAAAUCUGGCCCUUUCAGGGUCCGAGUUGUAAUUUGUAGAGGGUGCUUUGGCGUUGGCUGUGGUCUAAGUUCCUUGGAACAGGACGUCGCAGAGGGUGAGAAUCCCGUAUGUGGCCGCCAGUCUUCGCCGUGUAAAGCCCCUUCGACGAGUCGAGUUGUUUGGGAAUGCAGCUCUAAAUGGGAGGUAAAUUUCUUCUAAAGCUAAAUAUUGGCCAGAGACCGAUAGCGCACAAGUAGAGUGAUCGAAAGAUGAAAAGCACUUUGGAAAGAGAGUCAAAAAGCACGUGAAAUUGUUGAAAGGGAAGCGCUUGCAGCCAGACUUGCCUGUAGUUGCUCAUCCGGGCUUUUGCCCGGUGCACUCUUCUAUGGGCAGGCCAGCAUCAGUCCCGGCGGUUGGAUAAAUGCCUGUUGAAUGUACCACUCCUCGGGGUGGACUUAUAGCCUCGGGCGGCAUACAACCAGCUGGGAUUGAGGUCCGCGCAUCUGCUAGGAUGCUGGCGUAAUGGCUGUAAGCGGCCCGUCUUGAAACACGGACCAAGGAGUCUAACAUCUAUGCGAGUGUUUGGGUGUCAAGCCCGAGCGCGUAAUGAAAGUGAACGGAGGUGGGAACCCCUCGGGGUGCACCAUCGACCGAUCCUGAUGUCUUCGGAUGGAUUUGAGUAAGAGCAUA
rnacentral:sRNA from 1 species